CGUCAACAAGAUAAUUUCACAGUCAGCUUAUUCUCUGCUUAUAUUUUAUGAGUAACCCUCUCAGCUAUCUGGUAACCUCAGUGCUGAUUACAAGUAUUUGUUCAGUCAAGAACUCCAGUUCCAGGCAAUGGAUAUUAUUAUGUCAGGUAGGCAGAAUUAUACUCAGCUGACACUUACACGACCUGCUCUUCUGGGGGCUUGAAGUUGAAGCCCGGCGGCGGCAGUUUUCUCCUCGACAUUGCGCCGACGUCCUCCCAGCGAGAAUCAAGUCAAAAUCUGUGAAUCCUAUUAGAAUUUCACAAAAU